rnacentral:rRNA from 1 species
AUACGGAGGGGGCAAGCGUUGUUCGGAAUUAUUGGGCGUAAAGGGCGCGUAGGCGGUUUGGUUAGUCAGUCGUGAAAUCCCUCGGCUCAACCGAGGAACUGCGAUUGAUACUGCCGAACUUGAGUCCCGGAGAGGGUAGUGGAAUUCCCAGUGUAGCGGUGAAAUGCGUAGAUAUCCGGAGGAACACCAGUGGCGAAGGCGGCUUCCUGGACCAAUACUGACGCUCAGGCGCGAAAGCGUGGGUAGCAAACAGGAUUAGAAACCCGGGUAGUCC